CUGCCAGUCACCUUAAACCACACCCCUAUCACCUGCCACUUACCCGUAAACUGCACCCCAAUCACCCCAAACCCCUCCCCAUCACCCUAAACCCUACCCAAUUACCUGCCAAUUACCCCAAACCCUACUCCAAUCACCUGCCUUAAAUCCCAGACUCCACCCCAAUCACUCCAAACCCCACCCCAAUCUGCUGCCAAUCACCCUAAACCCCACCCAGUUACCUGCCAAUUACCCCAAACCCUACUCCAAUCACCUGCCUUAAAUCCCAGACUCCACCCCAAUCACUCCAAACCCCACCCCAAUCAGCUGCCAAUCACCCCAAACCCCACCUCAGUCACCUCCCAAUUACCCCAAACCCCAACCCCAUCACCUGCCUUAAACCCCAACCCCACCCCAGUCACCUGCUGUCAGCACCCAGAUGCCAGGCUCUGGUUGUGCUGUUCCACAGGCUCCGCCCCUUUCCUCUCCUCCAAUGACGUGGCCUCGAGGGCGUGGCAGUAAAGCAGCCUCGUGCUCCUACACUAUCUGCUGCUGGACUCCUGUCCCUUUAAACCGCAGCCGUUUCCACGGACACAGGAGUCAGGCAACCUUCUCCACGGGUACGGGAGUCAAGCAGCAGUUUCCAUGGAUACAGGUGUCGGGGAAACUGUGAGAUUUGGGGGUGGAGCCUCCUGCCAAAACCGUGUGCAUCUGUGCAGCACAUGACCACCACACCCAAACGCAGUGUCCACCGGUCCCACAGGCACCGGUCCCACAGGCCAGGGCCACGGAGUCAGGCUUUUUCUACUCUACAAAGAACACACUGCAUAACGGAUGAAGGCCUGUUCAGUUAGUUUUUGUUUUAAAUAAAUUUCCAUUUGGAAUUAUUUCGCUUCAGACCACUGCACCAGAGGCUGAAGCUCAUCUGGCCUGAAGCUUGGUACCGUCAUUUAGCAUGGGAUAGACGCUUCGUUUUUUUGCUUCGAUAAAUAUAUUGUGUAUACUUGGUGUAGACUUUUGCAUAUAUCAUAAUAUAUAUUAUAUAUACAUAUAUGUAUAAAACCUUUGUAGUUUUUCUGGGUUUUGAUGUUGAAUCUGUAUCUAUAAUGUAUCCCAGUAGUGAUCUCAUACUGAUUGUAUAAUUGUACAUUUGUAAACCUCCUGUAAUGUAAAUGUGGAAAACUUGGAAUUGCUUCUAAAAGCUUUUUGUUAUAAAGGAAAAUCUAAAAAGGAAAAAAAAGUUAGAAACCUGUGCAUUUCAGUGUAUAUUCAGACUUCUGGUGGUGGCUUAUAUUUGUUGUAUAUUGUAAAUUGUAAUAUGAAAUUUUGUUUUGAGAAGCCCUUUCUUAUACAGUGUAGUACUUGUACAAACAAAUGCUUCAUGGUUUUAACGUCUCUACUUUACACUUAAAAAAGGAAGGAAAAAUUAGCCGAUUUACUGUUUAAACAACCCCCUAUUUGAGAAGUGACUUUUUUUAGAUCUUUUAAAUGUGAUGUUUUUUUCCACUGCCUGGGGGGGUUAACGGUGCGUUUCCUGAAGUGAGACCCCCCCGGACCCCCCGCUCUUCCGUAAAAGGGGGUCUCGUUUUGUACAGACUGAGCGCGUCUGCGCUGCUGCGAGGCCCGGUCCGGUCCGGUCCGGUCCAUCGGCCUUCGCCUGCAUGCAGUGUUGGACCCCUGUGACUCCAGGCCUUGUGAAUACAGGCCCUGUGACUCCAGGCCUUGUGAAUACAGGCCCUGUGACUCCAGGCCUUGUGAAUACAGGCCCUGUGACCCCAGGCCUUGUGAAUACAGGCACACCUGUAACCAUCUGUAAAGUCUGAACUGGAUCCUGUGUACGCUUAUCGCCUGGGCAACCAUAUUUUGUAACUUGUUGUAGAUUGUCAAAAAAAGUGAUCUUUAUUUUGAAACAAAAACCCUAAAAUCUC